UUAGCCAGGAUGGUCUCGAUCUCCUGACCUCAUGAUCUACUGCCUCGGCCUCCCAAAGUGCUGGGAUUGCAGGUGUGAGCCACUGCACCCGGUCAACGCACACAUUCUUUUGACUCAGAGAUGAUUUCCUCUUCAGAAAACAGAAGAAUUUUCUGACACAUUUAUCCAGAUUGGAUGAUAUGGAGAUGAACACCAGGACUAUUUUAGAAACUGCAUGUUGAAGACCACUGAGAUAUAAAACUUAGAAAAAAAAAGGUUCUGAAUCAAUGCCUUGUGAAGACAGUUGCACAGGGUACCACCAGGCUGAAAUCCAGGUGUUCACCAGGACUUUUCUUCACCUGGAGGCCCAGCUGGAGAAGAAUCUGCUUCCAAGCUCCAUCAGACUGUUAGAAAAUUAACUUCCUGUGGCUAUAGGAUUCAUGGCACGUUGCUUCUUCAAAGCCAGCAAUGGAAAGAGUCUUCUGCUCCAAGAAUGACAUGUAGUCACUCAGAAAGGGAUCAUAUGACUAGGAGGAUGAUAAGACCUUAUAGAGUUGUGAGAAUUAAAUAAGAUUUUCAAGUAAAGGAUUUACUACAAUGCCUGGCAUACAGUGAGCACUGAAUACAUGCUUGCAAUGAUGAUGAUGAUGAUGUGAUGAUAGAAUCAACAGGAACGUAAAAGGAAUCCAAUUCCAUUUAUUCCUGUUGCCUCUUCAAUACAAACAUGAUACAGCACCCACUUGCAGGUGCAACUGUGAAGGCCAAGAACUGUGGCAGCUGCCAAGAAAAGGAGAUGGCCUCUUGCCAGGUGCAGAGCUGCUAGCAUGGCUGUCAGGAAGUGACAGAGCAUUUGCUGAGAAGUCAACAUUUGCUGACAGCUCACACAUCAAAGCAUUUUUCCACAGCUUUCAGUACUGUUACCAUAUGCGAGUGUUCAUGGGAACAGCCAUGCCUGGAUAAACCAGAUAAACUGAGGAAUCAAAAGGCAUAUUCAGACCAAGACUAAAGAGAACCUUCUUCACCUCCUCCAUACUUCUUCAAUAAGACCACUCAGGACACCUUAACUGCCUUGCUGCCUUUCUGGAAGAGAACAAUCCAAUAAUGAGAACAUCCUUGAGGAUCACAGAGUCCAGAGUCCCUAGAGAGAGGGAGAGCAAUCAUGUCUUCUAGACGGCAAGUUACUUACACAUAUGUCUAGGUAUCUCCAACAUAAAGAGAUUUGAGUCCAUGGAAGGAUGUUGAAUCCAUGGUCCAAAGACUCUGGAUAGGAGCAGUGCCAAGCGAGCUGCUCACUUUGGAAUUGCCUCCUGGUUCUCCUGGAUUUAGCCUGUGCUCUGUGAUUGG
rnacentral:lncRNA from 10 species